GUGCCAGCAGCCGCGGUAAUACGGAGGGUGCGAGCGUUAAUCGGAAUUACUGGGCGUAAAGCGCGCGUAGGUGGCUUGAUAAGCCGGUUGUGAAAGCCCCGGGCUCAACCUGGGAACGGCAUCCGGAACUGUCAGGCUAGAGUGCAGGAGAGGAAGGUAGAAUUCCCGGUGUAGCGGUGAAAUGCGUAGAGAUCGGGAGGAAUACCAGUGGCGAAGGCGCUYUGGACUGACACUGACACUGAGGUGSGAAAGCGUGGGUAGCAAACAGGAUUAGAUACCUGGUAGUCC
rnacentral:rRNA from 1 species